AGUGGUAGCAGGCAACAACCUGAAUCCAGCUCCUCUGAAUUCAGAAAUGAGAUACCCUUUAUAUUGUGAAUGAUUUAACUUCCACAAAAGCAAUUUGUUACCAAGAACUGGACCUUGAAAUGCAGUUGAAGCAGAAUCACACUCCAAGCAAUUCCUGUUUCUUGACCUUGUCUGGCCAGAGAGGAAACCCUGCAGCACAGUUUCACGAAUCAGCUAGGAAAAUGCUAUGGACAAUGCUGACCUCUGCAGAAUGACAAUGGGAAACCAGCUGUGAACGCUACUAGCCUAUUAUCUGGCCUUUGUCAUGUGCUCUACAACAAUUACAUCUAUAUUCUUUAAAGGAGGAUGACCUACAAGACCUUGCCAGCUUCAAUCUUUUGGGCAAUCAUCGACUACAAGCUUAUUCAGCCCAUUGAUUUAGUAGCAAGCUGAAAGUGAUGAAGCUGAAAGGACAGCUGGAGCACAAAUUUUAUCCAUUGGGAAUGGAUGAAAUUAAGCAUGGAUUGAAGACUGUUUGAAGACCUGCUCCACA